UGCGGGUGGGUCGAGGGACGGGUCUGGGCCGCGCUCGUAGUUGGCACCGGGUCACACACCCAUUCGAGCGGCAGGACGCCCUUGUUCCAGCAGUUCUCGCUGACCGCGCCAGCUGCCGCUUCUGCGAUCCCGGUACCCUGGGCUCAUCAGCAAACGCCCUGGCGUCCGUCCUCACCAUGUCUAGCCUUUGGGACCGCUUCUCAUCGUCCUCCUCCUCUUCGUCCUCCUCCUUGUCCCGAGCUCCCACCCCAGAGCGGCCGCCGCGCUCCGCCCGGGGCUCGGGGGCCCGAGAGGAGGGACUUGACCGCGCUGCGCGAGUCUGGAGAGCUCGGACUGCGAGGCCCUGGCCGGGAGCAGCAGUGGCUUCGGGCCGGAGGAAGACUCGGCAUACUAGGAUGGGGUGUCGCUGCCCGACUUCCAGCUGCUCACCGAGGAUGAGCCCCUGUGUGGCAACCUGAUGCCGCGGCUGCAGGAGAGCCUGGUCCAGGCAGCGCGCGCUCGCGGCGCCCUGCGCGCCUGCUGAUGCCCGGCCCGCUGGUGAGCCAGGUGGGCAAGGAAGCGCUGCGCCCGGCUUACAGCGAGCCGUGCGGCCUGCGGGGGGCGCUGCUGGACGUCUGCGCGGAGCAAGGCAAGGGCUGCCUUGGACCCCAGCCUGGUGCCCCCCUUCCAGCGGACCCUCGUGCUGCGCCUGGACUCAUGCCUCUGGCCCAAGAUCCAGGGGCUGUUUAGUUGGGCCAACUCUCCCUCCCCGCUGGCUUCAGCCAGUCCCUGACGCUGAGCGCUGGCUUCCGAGUCAUCAAGAAGAAGCUGUACAGUUCUGAGCAGCAGCUCACUGAGGCGUGUUGA